GGGGUCCUGCCUGCCCGGUGACUUAGUUAGUUAAACGGCCGCGGUAUUUUGACCGUGCAAAGGUAGCAUAAUCAUUUGUCUCUUAAAUAGAGACUGGUAUGAAUGGCAAGACGGAAAUUUAGCUGUCUCUUUUUUAAAUGCUUUGAAUUUGAUAUUUUUGUGAAGAAGCGAAAAUUGUUUCGUAGGACGAGAAGACCCUAUCGAGCUAGAAUUGAAAAUACAGUGGUACAAGAUUACUUCUAUAACUAAUUAUAUGUUUUUCAUAGGGACCUUUAUUAAGGAAGUUAUUUACUAAAAUGUGUUUGAUGAUUUUGAUUGGGGCAAUCGCGGAGAAUAUUAAUCCUCCGUUAUAAAAAUAAAUUUGGGAAGUACUUUUCCAUUUGUAGUUAUGAAUUGUAUUUAAUGAUCCACUUUUUGGAGUGAACAAAGGAAAAAGUUACCGUAGGGAUAACAGCGUAAUUCUCUUGGAGAGUUCGUAUUGAUAAGAGAGUUUGCGACCUCGAUGUUGGAUCAAGAUUUCCGGGAGAUGCAGAAGUUUCCAAAGGUUGGUCUGUUCGACCAUUAAAAUCUU
rnacentral:rRNA from 1 species